UGAAAUAAAUAUAUGCAAUAAACAUUAAUUCAUUUUUUAAAGCAAUCACAUCAAUCAAUAUCCAUUUCUCCAUAUUCAAUAUUAAUUUGCUUUCUCGUUUCACAAUAUCAUAAACAGAAGAAAAAACAGUAUCUUUCUUAUUUCCAAAGCUCAAUUUCAUCAAACAACCAUGUUAAGUCUUACCAAAUCGGUUUCAACUAAGGAUUAACUGAUGAAAGAAGUAUACAGGUAUCGAGAAAGGGAAAUGAGCACAAAGGUCAACGGGAUUCCUAUGCCAAAUAAGUUCUGGGGAAAAGAAGCAUUCCAUAUGGCGGUAUAAUUUGUUGAUUGUGGAAAUUAUGCAUUAUUCCCAUUUGAUAUUGCACGAUCAGAAAGCUGUAAUCAUUUUUUAUACUAUACGAGUGGAGAUGGUACAAAUAGCAUAACUGUAUGUACGGAUCCUCUGCUUGGGAGUGAUGGGGGAGAGCAAGCCGACAUUUUUAUUCUAAUGCGUGCUCACCGGCUGCGUUCACCAAGGUAAACGCGCUCGGAACGCUGGUGAAAAUAACAGAGCUCGGUACGUCAUAUGCCUCUCUAUCGACUACACUACUGAUAUUACCGUGUGGAAAUUGCAACAAUACAAGAGACCAAUAUAUAUAAUGAAUUUAUAAAAAUUUAAUAUUACAUUUGGGUUGCUGUAAUUAAAAACACAUUAAACAUUUGAUACAUCAAAAGUUAUACAUCAGACCAAAUUAUGAAUCUAAACAGAGACUUUGGAUUAAAAGCAAUACCAUGGAAUUACUAGAAUCGACUAUUUGAGAAAUCCUCGGCGUCAUAAUGAUGGAUCACGACGAGUUUUUCUUCUUGGAUAUCGUCCAAAGAUGAUAUGUACAUUUCGACUGUCUCUCCGUGCUAAAUCGGAUAUUUGUGUCAAUUGAUGUCUUUUGACCGUGAAUAUUUUCUUCACGGUCCACUAAAUUUAAAUUUUAUAAA